GUAACAGGAAGCAGCUUGCUGCUUUGCUGACGAGUGGCGGACGGGUGAGUAAUGUCUGGGAAACUGCCUGAUGGAGGGGGAUAACUACUGGAAACGGUGGCUAAUACCGCAUAACGUCGCAAGACCAAAGAGGGGGACCUUCGGGCCUCUUGCCAUCAGAUGUGCCCAGAUGGGAUUAGCUUGUUGGUGAGGUAACGGCUCACCAAGGCGACGAUCCCUAGCUGGUCUGAGAGGAUGACCAGCCACACUGGAACUGAGACACGGUCCAGACUCCUACGGGAGGCAGCAGUGGGGAAUAUUGCACAAUGGGCGCAAGCCUGAUGCAGCCAUGCCGCGUGUAUGAAGAAGGCCUUCGGGUUGUAAAGUACUUUCAGCGGGGAGGAAGGUGUUGUGGUUAAUAACCGCAGCAAUUGACGUUACCCGCAGAAGAAGCACCGGCUAACUCCGUGCCAGCAGCCGCGGUAAUACGGAGGGUGCAAGCGUUAAUCGGAAUUACUGGGCGUAAAGCGCACGCAGGCGGUCUGUCAAGUCGGAUGUGAAAUCCCCGGGCUCAACCUGGGAACUGCAUUCGAAACUGGCAGGCUUGAGUCUUGUAGAGGGGGGUAGAAUUCCAGGUGUAGCGGUGAAAUGCGUAGAGAUCUGGAGGAAUACCGGUGGCGAAGGCGGCCCCCUGGACAAAGACUGACGCUCAGGUGCGAAAGCGUGGGGAGCAAACAGGAUUAGAUACCCUGGUAGUCCACGCCGUAAACGAUGUCUACUUGGAGGUUGUGCCCUUGAGGCGUGGCUUCCGGAGCUAACGCGUUAAGUAGACCGCCUGGGGAGUACGGCCGCAAGGUUAAAACUCAAAUGAAUUGACGGGGGCCCGCACAAGCGGUGGAGCAUGUGGUUUAAUUCGAUGCAACGCGAAGAACCUUACCUGGUCUUGACAUCCACAGAACUUUCCAGAGAUGGAUUGGUGCCUUCGGGAACUGUGAGACAGGUGCUGCAUGGCUGUCGUCAGCUCGUGUUGUGAAAUGUUGGGUUAAGUCCCGCAACGAGCGCAACCCUUAUCCUUUGUUGCCAGCGGUCCGGCCGGGAACUCAAAGGAGACUGCCAGUGAUAAACUGGAGGAAGGUGGGGAUGACGUCAAGUCAUCAUGGCCCUUACGACCAGGGCUACACACGUGCUACAAUGGCGCAUACAAAGAGAAGCGACCUCGCGAGAGCAAGCGGACCUCAUAAAGUGCGUCGUAGUCCGGAUUGGAGUCUGCAACUCGACUCCAUGAAGUCGGAAUCGCUAGUAAUCGUGGAUCAGAAUGCCACGGUGAAUACGUUCCCGGGCCUUGUACACACCGCCCGUCACACCAUGGGAGUGGGUUGCAAAAGAAGUAGGUAGCUUAACCUUCGGGAGGGCGCUUACCACUUUGUGAUUCAUGACUGGGGUGAAGUCGUAACAAGGUAACCGUAGGGGAACCUGC
rnacentral:rRNA from 1 species